GACUCUGAAUAUACACCUCUAUUAUUGUAAUGUCUAAAUUCAUACUUUGGUCAAGACAUUCUUGUAAGUCUAGUACCUUCAUGAUUGAUCUUUAUUUUAUCACUGUAAUGUCUAAAUUCAUACUUUGGUCAGAUGCUUAACAGCAAAUGUCAAUUCCCUUUUAUAAAAUUUGUGAAUAUUGAUUGUCUGUCAUUUGAAGUUGAGAGGAAGCCAGAAGCUUUGCUGUAAGCUGAAAUUAAAUAAAAGUGUAUAGUUACUAGCAUGAACUGCCGCGCAUGUGUAGACAAAUUUUAAAACAAGGAUUUAUGGUGUUAAUUGAUAUUGAUCGAGUGUAUUUAAAAACACGGAUUCAUGAAUCGAACUGAUCUAUUUAAUUAUGCUAAAGAUUCAUUUAUUUAUGGUGUAGGAUUAUUAGAAGUUGGAUGAAUUUGUCUAAUGUGGUGAUUGGAAAUUCGUUUAUAACAAUGUAUAAUAUGUAUAAUCUACUUAAUACUUUUUCAUAGAAUCUGAUGUUUUGGUAUUUAUUUAGUAUUUCAGCGGUGAAGGAAUUCGUAAUAAAUUAUUACUAUUGAUUGUACUCUGUUAUGACUAAUUAGCUCUUUGAAAACUGCAGCAGUGGCAGAGGAGUAUCGCUUUCAGCGGUGAAGGAAUUCGUAAUAAAUUAUUACUAUUCAUAUGUAAUACUUAAAUUUCAUUAUCUUACACAUGAACUUUGAAUCAAAAGAGUAUGUGAAGCAUAAUUGGUUGAAACUUUUGAUGAAGUUCACUUUAGACUAAUGAAGUAUGUGGAGUAUAAAUGGUAGAAACUUUUGAUGAAGUAUGAUUUCUCUCUGCUUCUGACUAAAGAUUUUUAAAACAGGAUCCAAUGAAGGAACUUUGUGUUAUGGGACUAUUGGUUGUGCAUUUGAACAAUUGCAAGCUUGCUAGACUUUGAUCAUCAUCAUCUUGCUAGACUAAGAAAAUUAAUAAGCAGUUGGAAACUAUUAUAUAAAUGGAAUCUAUGGGCAGUUGGAAUCUAUUUUUUGGCAUCAUGUAUGAAAGAAUUCACUUAUCAAGGAUAUGGUGGUAUAUCACAACCCAUUGUUCUCUCAAAUCCAUCCGCAGCGCAUGACGCUUCUGUUAAGAUUAUGUUGCAACGGAAUGGGAGUUAUGUUCAAGAAACUGGAUCAUGUGCUUGUCUCCUUCUCGAACAAUUUAGUCAAGCGAAGCGCAUCGAAUUUUAUGGAUCAGAGGUAAGAUCAAAUCAUUUAACUUACUUAAUCUAAUACUGAAGUUAGAGCCAAGACUGUAAUAUAAUACAAGGUAGUUUGUUUGUUGAUUCUUUAUUAACUCUAAUUAUCAUGUAUGCAUUUAACAUAUUUUAUCAAUCAUUCAAUACGAAUUCAAAGAUUUUUUCUUCAGAUCAAGCUCUCAAACUAUUUUUCUUUUAUGUGAUUUUUGGCUUUGGGUUCGAAGAAAGUUGUGAUUUUUGCUUCUGGGUUGUAGGAAUUGGGAUUUUUAUUGAAAAGGGGGAGAAUGAGUAACCAGAAGAAGAGGAAUUUUCAGAUAGAGGCGUUUAAACACAGGGUGGUUAUGGAUCCGAAAUAUGCAGACAAAACAUGGAAGAUUCUUGAAGAUGCGAUUCAUGAGAUUUAUAAUCAUAACGCUAGUGGUCUCAGUUUUGAAGAACUUUACAGGUUAAUCCAUUUUUCUCUUUUUUUUUCUUCAUGUUUAUGAUUCAUUUUAUGGAAAAAUUUGGGGAUUGGUUGUUUUAUUUGGGGAUUUGAUGUUUUUGGAUUGUUUAAAUUUGAAUAAGAAAAUGAAUUAUACAAUUUUCUGGGUUUCCUGUUGUUGUUUGUUAGAUUAAGAUACUGUCUAUGGUUUGUGCAUAUGAGCAGUUGGAAUGUUUGUUGAGUUAUUGAUUGAGCUAGUUGUUUCAUUUAGUUUCUCUAUGUAGAAUUGGUAUGAUAUCGUAGCGGUUAGGUAGUGAGGUAGUGCUAAGGCAGUUGCAUGUGAUGGUAGCUAUAGGGGAAGAAAGAGAAGCGAGGUAGUACUGGGAUUGUAUUUUUCUGUUAGUAAUUUGUACAGAGAAGAACGAUCGUUCUCUGUGGAGCAGUGGCUCUAGUUUUCUUUGUGUAGGAACGAGCCAAUGAUCUUUUGUCACCUUUCAAUACAGAAUACUGCAUUUCAGUUUACAAUUUUUCUC